GGGGGUGUAGCUCAAUGCUAGAGCACUUCCCUACCAUGUGUGGGGCCCUGGGUUCAAUCCCCAGCACCUUGC
rnacentral:tRNA from 1 species